AAUUCUGUAUAGGGAGAAAUUCGGUUCGUAGUGUACAGGGGUCAGAGUAGUCAUACCCUGAAACAUGGAAUACUUUAACUAAUAAACUGUACUAAAUGGCUUGACCAAAAAUUUUGAAAAUUUUAUGGAAGAAAUAUAAAUGAGUCUAAUUUUAGAGAAAAUUUAUGGAACUUAAUUCGGAGUUUUGUAGCUCCAGAUAUAAAUAAUUUAGUGACUGUUGUGCAGGAAGACAGCUUGUCGUAAACUUGAGAAUAUGUUGUAAACAUUGAUAAAACAAGUUAAUGAGUUGCUUAUUGUUUUCAUAUGAACUUACUAAGCGAAAGCUUACCCCCUUAUUUUCUAUGUUCUCUAGGGUUUCCAGGUUUGUUCGGGUUGGAGUUCGUCGGAGAUAUUAUCACACUUGCAAGCUAACGCUAUUGGUGUAGUGAUUUCAAGUACUUUGAGUCUAUGGCAUGUAUAGGAGUUUAAAUAUUAGAGUAUAUGAUAUGGCUUUGACCAUAUGUGUUGGCCUAUUUUGAUUAUGGGAUUAUAAAUUCAUUUUAAUUAUUUGAGAUUUCAUGGUCCUGUUUAGUAUAGAAGUGUUAGUAAAAGUUAGGUAGCACCUCGAACCCUGUCCCAGCGUCGGAUGCAGGCGAGAGGUGUUACAGGUCUAAUAAUCAAUUUUCCUUGAGAACAAGUGACACAAGAUAAAUCCUUGAAUUCAAGAAUCUUUUGGUUCUUU
rnacentral:lncRNA from 1 species